GGAUCACAGUGGUCUUUGAGCAAGUCACAAUUCAGGUCACCGCAGAUCACCAGUGGGACCCCGGGAAAGUCAACCAGUAUACGGUGCAGCUGCAUCUCCAGGUCAUUGAAGUCGUCCUGCAGGGCAGCUACUGUGUACCGGGGCGGCCGGUACAGGGAGCCGAUGACGAGCUGACGUCCCCGAUCAAGCUUAACCCGCGCCCAGCACGACUCCAGCCUGCUGUUGGGGCUUCCGGAACCAGCGAUCUUGAGGUUGGAUGUGGUUAAACCGGUCUUGGUAAGGAUGGCCACGCCGCCGUACCCCCGUCCGUCGGGCCGAUCCGUACGGCUGAUGGUGUAGCCGGGAAGAACGACGAGUCGGCUAGGAGUGGAGGGUCUCAGCCACGUCUCGGAAAGGAGCACGGCAUCGAAGUCGCGACGUCGCAGCACGUCCGAGAGCUCUAGGAGUUUGGGCUUCAGGCUCUGAAUGUUCAGUGCCGCGAUGUGCAGACAGGCGUGUGCCGCUCCCCGCACGCGGCGGCGGCGGCCCCUCUGUGGCCCGCGCACCGCGCCGCCGCGGUCUCCUCCCUCUACCCUGCCUCGGUCGCGGCCCGGCUCGGUCACCGGCAGAGACGGUGAUUCACUAAUCUCGAACAGAGACGUCACGGACGGGAUAGUUCGUCAGUCGCGACCGGAACAAAUAUGACGUCAUUGGUAGUCAGGAACGGAAAUUAUGACGUCAUACAUAGUCACGAAUAAACAUAUUGUCAACAAAAAUCAGAUAAAACUUGUCACGUCAUAACUAGCUGUGAGGAACUAUGAUGAAGUCGUCAACAAUGAAGUGCUUACAUAAUGAUGGAUCACCAAAAAUAAAGAGCAAAUAGGUA